rnacentral:scRNA from 1 species
UUCAACCCAUAUAUGGGACUAUGCGGCUAGGC